rnacentral:rRNA from 1 species
UACGUAGGGUGCAAGCGUUAAUCGGAAUUACUGGGCGUAAAGCGUGCGCAGGCGGUUGUGCAAGACAGAUGUGAAAUCCCCGGGCUUAACCUGGGAACUGCAUUUGUGACUGCACGGCUAGAGUGCGGCAGAGGGGGAUGGAAUUCCGCGUGUAGCAGUGAAAUGCGUAGAUAUGCGGAGGAACACCGAUGGCAAAGGCAAUCCCCUGGGCCUGCACUGACGCUCAUGCACGAAAGCGUGGGGAGCAAACAGG